AUGGGGAGGACGCUGGACGUGCUGCUGGGCCGAACCACCAAGCAGACGGCGCGCCUCAAGUCCCUCCUGCACCUCGCCACGAAGCGGAUCGCCGUGGUGCGGGCGCACCGGGAGGUGCGGUGCGCGCAGGCGCGGGGGGACGUGGAGCAGCUGCUGCGGCAGGGCCACCCGGACCGCGCCCUGCUCCGCGCCGAGCAGGUCAUCCGGGAGCGGGACACGCUCGACGCCCUCCUCCUGCUCGACGCCUACUGCGCGCUCCUCGCCGACCGCUCCGCGCUGCUCGACGACGCGCACCGGGGCUGCCCCGACGAGCUGCGGGAGGCCGCGGCGGGGCUCUGCUACGCGGCGGCGCGCUGCGGGGACCUGCCCGAGCUGCAGGAGGCCCGCGCCCUCCUCGCCGCCAGGUUCGGCCGGGGCUUCGCGUCGGCCGCAGCCGAGCUCCGCGCCGGCUGCGGCGUCAACGCCAAGCUCGUGCAGCGGCUCUCCACGGCCCUGCCCAGCCUCGAGAGCCGCCAGAUGGUGCUCCUCGAGAUCGGCGCCGACAAGGACAUCCCCGUGCGCCUUCACGGCCACGCCGCCGACUCAUACGAGGAUCCGGCCGGCCGCUCCCACCAUGGCCAUGGCCAUGGCCACAGGAAGAAGAGGCUCGACGACGACGACGACGACGAGCGGCGGCACGCGACGCCGCGGGCCGACGAGCCGGAGGGAGACAAGGCCGCCACGAAGCUGACGUUCAAAGACGUGGAAGAGGCGGCGCAGGCCGCGUUUGAAUCGGCGGCCACGGCGGCGGCCGCAGCCAAGGCUGCCAUAGAGCUCUCGCGAGCAGGGUCCGGCAGCACCGACGACAGGCACAGGAGGAACCCAGGAAGGGCGCAUGCCGACGACGAUGAGGCUUUCCACGGCGGCGAGGAUCUAGCCGAUCGCAAGACCUUCGAGAGGAUUGGACAUGUUCGGAACUACAGCUCAGAAUCAGAUGGAGAGGAUCUGCCGGAGAAGAAACGUGGAGAAGAGCAGGAUACGCCCAGGAGCAGGCCGGCUUCAGUCAGGACCAACAGAAGACUCUAG
rnacentral:rRNA from 1 species